CCUACGGGUGGCAGCAGUGAGGAAUAUUGGUCAAUGGGCGGAAGCCUGAACCAGCCAAGUAGCGUGCAGGAUGACGGCCCUACGGGUUGUAAACUGCUUUUAUACGGGAAUAACGCGCCUUACGUGUAGGGCUUUGCAUGUACCGUAUGAAUAAGGACCGGCUAAUUCCGUGCCAGCAGCCGCGGUAAUACGGAGGGUCCGGGCGUUAUCCGGAUUUAUUGGGUUUAAAGGGAGCGUAGGCCGAAGGUCAAGCGUGCGGUGAAAUUUCGGGGCUCAACCCGGGCCUGGCAGUGAAAAGGGGUGUGCUUGAGGCCGGGGAAGGAAGGCGGAA
rnacentral:rRNA from 1 species